rnacentral:miRNA from 1 species
GUAUUCGUCACAUUUCGUCAAUUCAGACAAAUUAGACUUACUGUAAACAAAGCAUGACCAAG